AGUUGCAGUCAACUAGACCCCUCCCUUAUUUCAUACUUCAAGCUGUUAAUCCACUUCUGUAAAUCUUUUUAGUUUUAACUCAAGUAUAGAAGCUUCUAAUUUUUUCUGGGUUAAAUUUUGUCUCAUUAGAUUCACUCCCUCAAUCUUUGAAUCCAGAUUCUAUCAUUCUGUAUAUUAGCUGCAAAUCAUUAAUUUAAAGCAUGCCACUAGUACUAAAUAGGGUGAUAAAGUCAGCAAACUCGGGAAAGAUCUAUAGGUAUCUCAGCAGAGAGUUCUGACUCCAGCUAGUUCCCUUCCUCUCAUCUCUCAUGUGGCUUCUCAGAUUGCUUGCUUUCUAGUGCUGCUAAUAGAAGACACUAUA
rnacentral:lncRNA from 10 species